rnacentral:piRNA from 1 species
UCCAGACUCCCAGAACUGCUCUCUUACCGAA